rnacentral:rRNA from 1 species
CCUACGGGUGGCAGCAGUGAGGAAUAUUGGUCAAUGGGCGCGAGCCUGAACCAGCCAAGUAGCGUGAAUGAUGACUGCCCUACGGGUUGUAAACUUCUUUUAUAAAGGAAUAAAGUGAGGCACGUGUGCCUUUUUGUAUGUACUUUAUGAAUAAGGAUCGGCUAACUCCGUGCCAUCAGCCGCGGGAAUACGGAGGAUCCGAGCGUUAUCCGGUUUUAUUUGGUUUAAAGGGAGCGUAGGUGGGUUGUUAAGUCAGUUGUGAAAGUGUGGGGCUCAACCGUAACAUUGGAAUUUAUACUGGCAGCCUUGAGUACAUUUGAGGUAGGCGGAAUUCGUGGUGUAGCGGUGAAAUGCUUAGAUAUCACGAAGAACUCCGAUGGCGAAGGCAGCCUACUAAACUGCCACUGACAUUGAUGCUCGAAAGUGUGGGUAUCAAACAGGAUUAGAUACCCGGGUAGUC